rnacentral:misc_RNA from 1 species
UUAACUAUUAUAUAGUACUCAGACAUCACUAAUAAAAGAGUUUGGGUCCUCUGGCGGGCGCGAUCAGCCGGGGCCGACGCCUAAAAGAACGGCCCGCCAAAGCAACAAAGGUAAAAUAAAUACAGGGUGUAUGAUAUCUCCCUUUCCGAUCCGCUGCGUUUUACGGCGAACGUACCAGUCCGGUUACAUUAAUGAUCCUUCCGCAGGUUCACCUACGGAGA